ACGUAUGGAGCAAGCGUUAUCCGGAUUUACUGGGUGUAAAGGGUGCGUAGGUGGCAGUGCAAGUCAGAUGUGAAAGGCCGGGGCUCAACCCCGGAGCUGCAUUUGAAACUGCUCGGCUAGAGUACAGGAGAGGCAGGCGGAAUUCCUAGUGUAGCGGUGAAAUGCGUAGAUAUUAGGAGGAACACCAGUGGCGAAGGCGGCCUGCUGGACUGUUACUGACACUGAGGCACGAAAGCGUGGGGAGCAAACAG
rnacentral:rRNA from 1 species